rnacentral:misc_RNA from 1 species
GAAAUGCGAUAAGUAAUGUGAAUUGCAGAAUUCCGUGAAUCAUCGAAUCUUUGAACGCACAUUGCGCCCGCCAGUAUUCUGGCGGGCAUGCCUGUUCGAGCGUCAUUUCAACCAUCAAGCCCCGGGCUUGUGUUGGGGACCUGCGGCUGCCGCAGGCCCUGAAAACCAGUGGCGGGCUCGCUGUCACACCGAGCGUAGUAGAUUCUCAUCUCGCUCAGGGCGUGCUGCGGGUUCCGGCCGUAAAACAGCCUUAUUUUACCCAAGGUUGACCUCGGAUCAGGUAGGAAGACCCGCUGAACUUAAGC